AUUGAACGCUGGCGGCAGGCCUAACACAUGCAAGUCGAGCGGAGCGGCGGACGGGUGAGGAAUGUAUGGGGACCUGCCCGCUAGAGGGGGAUAACGACGGGACACGUUGGCUAAUACCACAUACUGUCGGAUGAACCCAGAUGGGAUUAGCUAGUAGGUAAGGUAAUGGGUUACCUAGGCGACGAUGCCUCGCUGGUCUGAGAGGAUGAUCAGCCACACUGGAACUGAGACACGGCCCAGACUCCUACGGGAGGCAGCAGUGGGGAAUAUUGCACAAUGGGCGAAAGCCUGAUGCAGCCAUGCCGCGUGUGUGAAGAAGGUCUUCGGAUUGUAAAGCACGUUAAGUUGGGAGGCGUUACCAACAGAAUAAGCACCGGCUAACUUCGUGCCAGCAGCCGCGGUAAUAC
rnacentral:rRNA from 1 species